GGGCAAACAGCAAGCGGAGGAAGACAGUCACUAGCAGAGGUGUCUGCAAGCUGACUGCUGAAGCUGGUAAUGCCAGAAGACUGGAGAGUGGCUAAUGAAGCAUCUCGUUUCAGAAAUGACAAGGAGAGACUGCAGAAAGUGAAGCAGCUGCAGAGUUCUGCGAGACAGAAACCUACACUCCUGCGAGUCUCUCUCAGAGAAUGCCAAUAACCAGGACUCAAAUCAAAGGAAAGACAUCUGCAUUCAGCAGCAACCAGGACAAACCUUCUCUCCUUUUGCUGACACAGAGUGUGACAAAAAACACCAGUAAGCUUAAGAAAAAUCCCCAUGAAAGUUGCAUAGAUGCAAGCAGAAAAAUGAAGAGCAUUUUCCAUCCAGCAUGCAUGCAGCUUCUCAAGGAGCAUAGCACCACACUGAUGUGUUGUCAAGUGUGGCAACUCCUCUGCGAAGAUACUUGUGUGAGCU